GUGAGGAAUAUUGCGCAAUGGAGGCAACUCUGACGCAGCCAUGCCGCGUGCAGGAAGAAGGCGCUACGCGUUGUAAACUGCUUUUAACCGGGAAGAAACCCCAGGACGUGUCCUGGGUUGACGGUACCGGAGGAAUAAGCACCGGCUAACUUCGUGCCAGCAGCCGCGGUAAUACGAAGGGUGCAAGCGUUAUCCGGAUUCAUUGGGUUUAAAGGGUGCGUAGGCGGAGCGUUAAGUCAGUGGUGAAAUCCUGCAGCUUAACUGUAGACUUGCCAUUGAUACUGGCGCUCUUGAGUGCGCUUGAAGUGGGCGGAAUGUGCCGUGUAGCGGUGAAAUGCUUAGAUAUGGCACAGAACACCAAUUGCGAAGGCAGCUCACUAAGGCGAUACUGACGCUGAGGUGCGAAAGCGUGGGGAGCAAACAGGAUUAGAAACCCCUGUAGUCC
rnacentral:rRNA from 1 species